CAGCAGCCGCGGGAAUACGAAGGGUGCAAGCGUUACUCGGAAUUACUGGGCGUAAAGCGUGCGUAGGUGGUGGUUUAAGUCCGUUGUGAAAGCCCUGGGCUCAACCUGGGAAUUGCAGUGGAUACUGGGUCACUAGAGUGUGGUAGAGGAUAGUGGAAUUUCCGGUGUAGCAGUGAAAUGCGUAGAGAUCGGAAGGAACAUCUGUGGCGAAGGCGACUAUCUGGGCCAAAACUGACACUGAGGCACGAAAGCGUGGGGAGCAAACAGGAUUAGAGACCCCCGUAGUCCCUGUCUCUUAUAC
rnacentral:rRNA from 1 species